GAGUUUGAUCAUGGCUCAGGAUGAACGCUAGCGGCAGGCUUAACACAUGCAAGUCGAGGGGUAUAGUUCUUCGGAACUAGAGACCGGCGCACGGGUGCGUAACGCGUAUGCAAUCUACCUUUUACAGAGGGAUAGCCCAGAGAAAUUUGGAUUAAUACCUCAUAGUAUUACGACCUGGCAUCAGGAUGUAAUUAAAGUCACAACGGUAAAAGAUGAGCAUGCGUCCCAUUAGUUAGUUGGUAAGGUAACGGCUUACCAAGACUACGAUGGGUAGGGGUCCUGAGAGGGAGAUCCCCCACACUGGUACUGAGACACGGACCAGACUCCUACGGGAGGCAGCAGUGAGGAAUAUUGGACAAUGGGCGCAAGCCUGAUCCAGCCAUGCCGCGUGCAGGAUGACGGUCCUAUGGAUUGUAAACUGCUUUUGCACAGGAAGAAACACUCGGACGUGUCCGAGCUUGACGGUACUGUGAGAAUAAGGAUCGGCUAACUCCGUGCCAGCAGCCGCGGUAAUACGGAGGAUCCAAGCGUUAUCCGGAAUCAUUGGGUUUAAAGGGUCCGUAGGCGGUCAGAUAAGUCAGUGGUGAAAGCCCAUCGCUCAACGGUGGAACGGCCAUUGAUACUGUCUGAC
rnacentral:rRNA from 1 species